GUGGGGGAUAUUGCACAAUGGGGGAAACCCUGAUGCAGCAACGCCGCGUGUGGGAAGAAGGUUUUCGGAUUGUAAACCACUGUUCUUAGCGAAGAAACAAAUGACGGUAACUAAGAAGAAAGCUCCGGCUAACUACGUGCCAGCAGCCGCGGUAAUACGUAGGGAGCGAGCGUUGUCCGGAUUUACUGGGUGUAAAGGGUGCGUAGGCGGGCCCGCAAGUCAGACGUGAAAGCCACAGGCUCAACCUGUGAAUUGCGUUUGAAACUGUGGGUCUUGAGUGAAGUAGAGGUAGGCGGAAUUCCCGGUGUAGCGGUGAAAUGCGUAGAGAUCGGGAGGAACACCAGUGGCGAAGGCGGCCUACUGGGCUUUAACUGACGCUGAGGCACGAAAGCGUGGGUAGCAAACAGGA
rnacentral:rRNA from 1 species